rnacentral:rRNA from 1 species
GUGGGGAAUAUUGGGCAAUGGGCGCAAGCCUGACCCAGCAACGCCGCGUGAAGGAAGAAGGCUUUCGGGUUGUAAACUUCUUUUACCAGGGACGAAACAAAUGACGGUACCUGGUGAAUAAGCCACGGCUAACUACGUGCCAGCAGCCGCGGUAAUACGUAGGUGGCGAGCGUUAUCAGGAUUUAUUGGGUGUAAAGGGCGUGUAGGCGGGACAGCAAGUCAGAUGUGAAAACCAGAGGCUCAACCUCUGGCCUGCAUUUGAAACUGUUGUUCUUGAGUGUCGGAGAGGUAAUCGGAAUUCCGUGUGUAGCGGUGAAAUGCGUAGAUAUACGGAGGAACACCAGUGGCGAAGGCGGAUUACUGGACGAUAACUGACGCUGAGGCGCGAAAGCGUGGGGAGCAAACAGGAUUAGAAACCCUUGUAGUCC